AUUGAACGCUGGCGGCAGGCCUAACACAUGCAAGUCGAGCGGAUGAAGGGAGCUUGCUCCUGGAUUCAGCGGCGGACGGAUGAGUAAUGCCUAGGAAUCUGCCUGGUAGUGGGGGAUAACGUCCGGAAACGGGCGCUAAUACCGCAUACGUCCUGAGGGAGAAAGUGGGGGAUCUUCGGACCUCACGCUAUCAGAUGAGCCUAGGUCGGAUUAGCUAGUUGGUGGGGUAAAGGCCUACCAAGGCGACGAUCCGUAACUGGUCUGAGAGGAUGAUCAGUCACACUGGAACUGAGACACGGUCCAGACUCCUACGGGAGGCAGCAGUGGGGAAUAUUGGACAAUGGGCGAAAGCCUGAUCCAGCCGUGCCGCGUGUGUGAAGAAGGUCUUCGGAUUGUAAAGCACUUUAAGUUGGGAGGAAGGGCAGUAAGUUAAUACCUUGCUGUUUUGACGUUACCAACAGAAUAAGCACCGGCUAACUUCGUG
rnacentral:rRNA from 1 species